CCUCUGAGCAGGCCAGGCUUCCUUCAUUCGAGACAAAGCAAUCUCCUCCAGACCCAGUCAUCCCUGGCAGUUAGGGAUGGGGCAAGACACAGCUUCAUGGGAGAGUUUAGAGAGCUAGAAACUCCCUUCACAAGUCUAUCACGUGGAGCUGAGGGUUCUGAGAAGCAGAAAAUCAGCAAUAGAUAGGGUCAUAGUUGCAGGAGGGCAGGCUCCAAGGCAUCAAUCAUCUUGAGGCUGAAGCAUCUAGAAUACAUCCUUAGAGAAGGAACUGGAAGAGACUGAAAAUGCCUGUCUAGUGAGUUAAGAGCAGGUAUAGAAAUCACUGGAAAGAAGGCUCUUGAUCCAAGGAUAGAGAGAGGUUUGGAAGAAGACCUAGACCCGAGAGGACGUGAGAGAAAGGGAAAUGAGAACUAUAGAGGAGAGGCUAUUUCCUUUCAAGUUAAGAAGAUGGUUUAAUUUUGUUUUUCAUAAGCCAAAGGUGAAGAAUAAAAAGAACCCAACAGGACAGGAAUUUCUCACACAUCAAAAUCAUCACUUUUGCUUUUAAGAAGAGAACUGGAAACACAGAUACAAAGAGAUAGACCCAAGUGUCUCAAUACCCAGCAGGCAUAUUCCUAGAUGUGGUGAGGACUCUUGUGGGAGGCUGGAUUAUUACUUGGUCACCUCAGGGAGAGGGCUAUAGGUUGGCAGGAAGUAGACAGAAAGGGAUAUAAUGGGAAGAAAGUCUCAGCUGGGGAGAAGAAACCACUCACCAGUUGUAGCUUCCUCCUGAACACCGCAUGUUCUGAACUUCUGUUGGGCUCCUGCCCACCCCCUACCCCAAUAACUCCGCCCCUGACCUCACAAUCUUCCAUUGGAUGUCCCAAGUAUCAGCCUGCCACAGUUCCCCCACAGGGUGUGGUUUUAUACUCCUGGCUCUGCUUCAUCGCUCCAGAAGAGAUCACCCCUUUUAUUCUAGAAUCCGGGCAUUCUGUCUUCUAACCUGUCUCCUUAUUUCAUUUGUGAACUUCUAGAGUCAAAGAAGUGUAUCGGAGGCAAAUAAAAAACUCUGAACUAAUCAGAUCCGCAUUUGAGUCUCAUCUCUGCCAUUUACUAGUUGAGUCACCUUGGGCAAAUCAUCUCUCAGACUCCCUCUCUUACCUCAUCCAUGAAAUAGGAGGUGUUGGCAGAGCUCCAGUAGAUGAAAGCGGUUUCUGCUAUCUUAGAGGCAAAAAGGACUGAAAUGUCUGGAUUCCAAAGAGAGAGUGAAGGAGAGCCCAAAAGCAUGCCUGACUUGAUACUAGGAAGCUUUGACUGCUUUGUGGAAAUGACCUCUGUCAUUUGAGCCAUCACUGAGGACUGUGUGUGAGUGACUCAGAUCCUCCCAUCAAACUCCGACGGGGGUAACCCCAAAAGGGUCUGUAGUGGUCUUUGAAGAGAAAAACUCCUUUUCUUGGGUUGAUGACAAAUUACAUUUCUCUGAAAUCAGAA